AACGAACGCUGACGGCAUGCCUAGCACAUGCAAGUCGAACGAGAUCUUCGGGUCUAGUGGCGCACGGGUGCAUAACGCGUGGGAAUCUGCCCUUUGGUUCGGAAUAACAGUUGGAAACGACUGCUAAUACCGGAUGAUGACGAAAGUCCAAAGAUUUAUCGCCAGAGGAUGAGCCCGCGUAGGAUUAGCUAGUUGGUGUGGUAAAGGCGCACCAAGGCGACGAUCCUUAGCUGGUCUGAGAGGAUGAUCAGCCACACUGGGACUGAGACACGGCCCAGACUCCUACGGGAGGCAGCAGUGGGGAAUAUUGGACAAUGGGCGAAAGCCUGAUCCAGCAAUGCCGCGUGAGUGAUGAAGGCCUUAGGGUUGUAAAGCUCUUUUACCCGGGAUGAUAAUGACAGUACCGGGAGAAUAAGCUCCGGCUAACUCCGUGCCAGCAGCCGCUGUAA
rnacentral:rRNA from 1 species